rnacentral:rRNA from 1 species
UACGUAGGCAGCGAGCGUUGUUCGGAGUUACUGGGCGUAAAGGGCGCGUAGGCGGCCUUCUAAGUCAGACGUGAAAUCCCCCGGCUUAACCUGGGAACUGCGUCUGAUACUGGGAGGCUUGAGUAUGGGAGAGGGAUGUAGAAUUCCAGGUGUAGCGGUGAAAUGCGUAGAUAUCUGGAGGAAUACCGGUGGCGAAGGCGGCUCUCUGGACCGACACUGACGCUGAGGCGCGAAAGCGUGGGGAGCAAACAGGG